GUGUUUACUGUACCUUAGUUGCUUCGGCGGGCCCGCCAUUCAUGGCCGCCGGGGGCUCUCAGCCCCGGGCCCGCGCCCGCCGGAGACACCACGAACUCUGUCUGAUCUAGUGAAGUCUGAGUUGAUUGUAUCGCAAUCAGUUAAAACUUUCAACAAUGGAUCUCUUGGUUCCGGCAUCGAUGAAGAACGCAGCGAAAUGCGAUAACUAGUGUGAAUUGCAGAAUUCCGUGAAUCAUCGAGUCUUUGAACGCACAUUGCGCCCCCUGGUAUUCCGGGGGGCAUGCCUGUCCGAGCGUCAUUGCUGCCCAUCAAGCACGGCUUGUGUGUUGGGUCGUCGUCCCCUCUCCGGGGGGGACGGGCCCCAAAGGCAGCGGCGGCACCGCGUCCGAUCCUCGAGCGUAUGGGGCUUUGUCACCCGCUCUGUAGGCCCGGCCGGCGCUUGCCGAACGCAAAUCAAUCUU
rnacentral:rRNA from 1 species